rnacentral:rRNA from 1 species
GACGAACCGUGCAAACGUUGUUCGGAAUCACUGGGCUUAAAGGGCGCGUAGGCGGUCGAUCAAGUCCAGGGUGAAAUCUUUCGGCUUAACCGGAAAAGUGCCUUGGAUACUGAUCGGCUGGAGGGAGGUAGGGGCAGCUGGAACUUCCAGUGGAGCGGUGAAAUGCGUUGAUAUUGGAAGGAACGCCGGUGGCGAAAGCGAGCUGCUGGACCUCUUCUGACGCUGAGGCGCGAAAGCUAGGGGAGCAAACGGG